CUCCCUUCGCCUCGUGUCUCAUUUAAAAGCGAAAAACGUCCGAUCCCCUCGAUCCCUUCGAUCCCCUCGAUCCCCUCGAUCCCUUAUGCCCUGGUGGCCAUGAGGUGACUCUGAUCCUCUGCUUCCUUCGCCUCGUGUCUCAUUUAAAAGCGAAAAACGUCCGAUCCCCUCGAUCCCUUCGAUCCCUUCGAUCCCCUCGAUCCCUUAUGCCCUGGUGGCCGUGAGGUGACUCUGACCCUCUGCUCCCUUCGCCUCGUGUCUCUUUUAAAAGCGAAAAACGUCCGAUCCCCUCGAUCCCUUCGAUCCUCUCGAUCCCUUAUGCCCUGGUGGCCAUGAGGUGACUCUGAUCCUCUGCUUCCUUCGCCUCGUGUCUCAUUUAAAAGCGGAAAACGUCCGAUCCCCUCGAUCCCUUCGAUCCCUUCGAUCUCCUCGAUCCCUUAUGCCCUGGUGGCCGUGAGGAGACUAUGAUCCUCUGCUCCCUUCACCUCGUGUCAACGGGAAAUACGUCCGAUCCCCUUUACUCGAUAGAACGUGCCAUCAGGAAACGCUCUUCUUCGGUUUCGUGCGUUCAAAUGUUCUUGUCAGUCGACCAGCGUUCCCAUUCAUUACGGCCUUCGAUUCUUGUACUCAAGUAAUUCUUAUGUCCAGAACUGUAACAAUUAUAAACUAUGAUAAAAGUUCUAUUUUUAGCAUCAGAAGCCUAUGGACCAAUGAGAGUCG